UACGUAGGUGGCAAGCGUUGUCCGGAUUUACUGGGCGUAAAGGGCGCGCAGGCGGUCGUUCAAGUCGCGUGUGAAAGCCCCCGGCUCAACUGGGGAGGGUCACGCGAUACUGAUCGACUCGAAGGCAGGAGAGGGUAGUGGAAUUCCCGGUGUAGUGGUGAAAUGCGUAGAUAUCGGGAGGAACACCAGUGGCGAAGGCGACUACCUGGCCUGUUUCUUGACGCUGAGGCGCGAAAGCUAGGGGAGCAAACGGG
rnacentral:rRNA from 1 species